rnacentral:rRNA from 1 species
CGAUGGAUGAGCCNAAGUCGGAUUAGCUAGUUGGUAGGGUAACGGCCUACCAAGGCGACGAUCCGUAGCUGGUCUGAGAGGAUGACCAGCCACACUGGGACUGAGACACGGCCCAGACUCCUACGGGAGGCAGCAGUGGGGAAUAUUGCACAAUGGGGGCAACCCUGAUCCAGCCACGCCGCGUGUGUGAAGAAGGCCUGCGGGUUGUAAAGCACUUUUAGUGGGGAUGAAAAGCGCAUCGCUAACACUGGUGUGUCUUGACCUAACCCAAAGAAAAAGCACCGGCUAACUCUGUGCCAGCAGCCGCGGUAAUACAGAGGGUGCGAGCGUUAAUCGGAAUUACUGGGCGUAAAGCGUGCGUAGACGGUUAUUUAAGUCGGGUGUGAAAGCCCCGGGCUCAACCUGGGAAUUGCAUUCGAGACUGAAUAGCUAGGGUGCGGUAGAGGGAAGCGGAAUUUCCGGUGUAGCGGUGAAAUGCGUAGAUAUCGGAAGGAACAUCAGUGGCGAAAGCGGCCUCCUGGACCAGCACCGACGUUCAGGCACGAAAGCGUGGGGAGCA